rnacentral:rRNA from 1 species
GUUAAGCGACUAAGCGUACACGGUGGAUGCCCUGGCAGUCAGAGGCGAUGAAGGACGUGCUAAUCUGCGAUAAGCGUCGGUAAGGUGAUAUGAACCGUUAUAACCGGCGAUUUCCGAAUGGGGAAACCCAGUGUGAUUCGUCACACUAUCAUUACGUGAAUACAUAGCGUAAUGAAGCGAACCGGGGGAACUGAAACAUCUAAGUACCCCGAGGAAAAGAAAUCAACCGAGAUUCCCCCAGUAGCGGCGAGCGAACGGGGAGCAGCCCAGAGUCUGAAUCAGCUUGUGUGUUAGUGGAACGGUCUGGAAAGUCCGACGGUACAGGGUGAUAGUCCCGUACACCAAAAUGCACAGGUUGUGAACUCGAAGAGUAGGGCGGGACACGUGGUAUCCUGUCUGAAUAUGGGGGGACCAUCCUCCAAGGCUAAAUACUCCUGACUGACCGAUAGUGAACCAGUACCGUGAGGGAAAGGCGAAAAGAA